UACAGAGGUCUCCAGCGUUGUUCGGGUUCAUUGGGCGUAAAGGGUGCGUAGGUGGCGCGGUAAGUCGGGUGUGAAAUUUCGGAGCUUAACUCCGAAACUGCAUUCGAUACUGCCGUGCUUGAGGACUGGAGAGGAGACUGGAAUUUACGGUGUAGCAGUGAAAUGCGUAGAGAUCGUAAGGAAGACCAGUGGCGAAGGCGGGUCUCUGGACAGUUCCUGACACUGAGGCACGAAGGCCAGGGGAGCAAACGGG
rnacentral:rRNA from 1 species